rfam:Gossypium hirsutum cultivar TM-1 chromosome 9, whole genome shotgun sequence
UAAUAAAAAUUUCAUCCAUUUGCACUCUCAAAAACUAGCGUGAUUAAUAGAAUGAAUAAUCAGACAAUGACACGUGACAUGUCACGUAUAUCUUAUGCUGGCAUACAUGUACCAGUUUUUAAUAGUGAAAUAGAUGAAAUUUUUAACA